GUGACUGGUUGGAGUCAAUGAGUGUGUUUUAAUUUGAGAGUUUGGAUUAAAUAGCUGGCAAAUGAAGAAUAUAUUGACUGUAUAAGCCAUUAUUGCAGUAACUAAUAGGAUACCUUGUGGAUGGAUUGAGAGAAGCAGCAAUGUGAUACAUUGCUAAUUAAAGAUCAGAAGUGCCACUUCAGGUGUGAAGCAACUGGCUCCGAUCAGCAGCAGGCAAGAAGCUCCUAAUUAAGAUGCAGUCUCAGCUAAAUGUCUCAGCUCAAUGAUACUGAUACUAAUUGGUAUUGCAAAAGCAUAUUAAAAUCAACGCAGGCUGUGACCCGCUCUGACAACUGCAGCAGAAACAAGGCUGGAGAAGUCAACUGGCUUGAAUCAUUCAUCGCCAAAGAAAGACACUGAUGACCAAACGUAUGAUCCUGAGACCACCUCCAAUUUGUUGAAGGGUUUUGGACCCUGGGAUGUCUUGUCUGAAACCAGGAAAAUUCCACCAGGUGGAGGAAUGCAGGCAUUCAGACAGUAUAUAAUCAGGAUAGCUCCCCUAACAUUGUCCCGCCUCCCAGCAGGUUUCC